GCACAAAAUGAACUCAACUUUUAUUUCUCGUUUUUUCUGCUUUUGCUUUUAUUUGCAUUUAUUUUAUGCUGAAUAUAUUCCCAGGCCACUUUUUUGUUUGUUUUUUCAGUUUCUUCCAGGAUAUCUUUUUCUUCUGUGCCACCUCCUCUUCUGUUUUAGGAGCAAUCUGCUCAUUUUCAAGAAUGAUCAUCUCAGGAGUUCCUGUCGCGGCGCAGAAGAAACAAAUCCAGCUAGGAACCAUGAGGUUGCAGGUUCGAUCCAUGAGGUUGCAGGUUCGAUCCCUGGCCUUCUUCAGGGGGUUAAGGAUCUGGUGUUGCCAUGAGCUGUGGUGUAGGUCACUGCUGAGGGGCAGAUUCAAUCCCUGGCCUGCCCUGGAACUUCCGCAUGCCGCAGGUGCAGCCAAAAAAAAUAAAGAAUCAUAAAAUGACAUUCAAUGUGGAAUUAGAGUGCAUUUUAAUAUGUUUCAUGUGAUUUGGACGGGGCCUCCCAAAUUAAGUGCAUCAAGGGCCAAAAGUGGUUUUAUUUAAAAGGCCUGUAAACCUCCGAACCAGACAGACAAGGUCUCAGUCUCAGGAAAUUUCUAAUCAAAGAACACGCUGACCUUCUCAGCAAAAGUAGGAACGAGUAAAGUGGAUCAGAUCUGAGUCUGGAGCUCGCUGAGGACCCCUGGCUUCUCUCCCAACCCCCUGACUGUUACAGAGAAAAAACUCUCUCCUGUGUCACACCCAUCCCCAGCCUGGUGACUCAGCGCUGGACAUGGGGAUUUUGGAAAGCUCAGUGGGGUGAUGGAGCGGGGAAAGACGGGGUAGAGGUGAUGCUCUCUCUGCUCUCAGGACCAGCCUGGGGUGGGGGUAGGGAGCAGCAGGACAGACAUAGGGAGGGAAAGAGACAAAUUGUCCCCAGAUGACAUUUUGAGACAGCAGAACAAAAUGUGUUUGGCUCUUCCCUACCCUCUCCCUCUUUUAAAGAGAAAUAGGACUCAGCCCUUGAAAGGGACCAUCUGGGCGUCUAAGUCACAGGUGCGAAGGUUUUAGGACUGGGAGGUGAGCAAUUCAGCACCUCCCCCCUCCUCCCCGUCUGCCUCCCCUCCCCAUCCAGCGGAGGAAAGGCAGGGAGGACCUGGGGGAAGCAGCGCUGGAAUCUCCUGCGUGCCCGCGCGUGCCCGUUCCCCUAGUACUGUCUCUAUUCCCAGCCACUGGGGUGGGAUUUGGCACAAUGACACGCCAUAAAGUCCAAUCUAUCGAACCCAAUUGAAUUGAAAGGCACGGUGGAGUCAGAUGAGGGGUCUGAUUUCCUCCCCCUCAUGUUUGUUCUCAGCCCGCUGUGUGGCCUUGAGCAACGGCUGCCGCCUCUGAGCUGUUUCCGCAUUUGUACAGAGAGCACCAGAAAACUUGGUCUGCGGGGACAUUAUGCAGACCCAGUGAACUGAAAUCGGCAAGGCAUUUAGCUCUGGGCCGGGCCUUUUUAAUUCUUACCCUUUGGCUGCAGUGGUGGGAAAGCAAAUGUUUGCCAGGUAGGGGGAGGUGGGUGGAGCUGAUGGUGGCCCCUCGCCAGCCAGAGAGGACUUUGAGCUUGCCCCGGAGUGCCAGGAGGGAGCCACUGAAGGUUCUGCAGCGAGGGAGGGGGCCAGAUCCUGGGAGGGGCCGGGAUCCUCGGCCCUCACCCAGAUCCAAAACCCCGCCUCUGGUGUUCUCUCUUCCUCCAAUGCACCCCCUCCCACAGCCCAGGGCCACAGCUCUGCUCCCACCAAGACCGAGUCUGGGAGAACAGCAGAGUGAGCCCCAGGACAAAGCCUAACUAAGGCUAUGCCUGAGCCCAGGCUUGAACCCCUACUCUGAGCCCCCCUCACUGGGUGUUUUGGAUUCCUCUGGGCCUCAGCCUUCUCCCUGCAAAGUGGGGCGACAACAGCGACCUCACGGGGUGGUGGGGAUGGUUAGUUGAGAUAAUAUGUAAAAGCACCUGGCGGCAUGCCUGCUGUACAGGUGGAGUUCAGUGUACGGUGCCAUUAACUGAGAAAGCGGACAGGGGAUCCAAAGGGAGAGAAUGAGGAUCAGAGACGGGGAAGAAUGACACACGGGCCCUUUGCCUCUCUGGAUGGUCCACCUGCAGCCAAGGAAAAAGCCCUUUGGGAGGAGGGGGUGAUUGGGGGGGCAGCUAUUGGGUAAGAGAGGAGGUCAUCCCUGGCCCGCUUCCCUCCUCUACUUCUACCUCCCGCCCAGCUUGGUCACCCAGUUUAGGGUGACAGGGCUGGGCAUGGUGGACCAGCAGCAAUCCUCCAGAUUCCAGAACUGGGCCUCCUGCAAAAGGUGGGUGAGGGUGUAAGGUGCUUCCAGGUGAUAAGAGAGCUGCAGGUGUCGGGCCAUGGGAGCUGGGAUUCCCCAUCCAUCACCCAUCAGGGCCCCAAGCCCAGCCCACCAGGCUUAACUGGAAACCCGAGGCUGCUCCAUUUGCAGUGUGGGUCUGCGUGCGAGAAAGCUGGUAACACUGGCUGAGACCGGUUCACUCUCACCCACAGGCCAGCUGGGCCCUCCCCAGUGGCUGGGCACCUGAGCAGGUGUGUGUGUGUGGAGGGGGGGGGGCUACAAGCUGUCACUUCUAAAUAUAGAGCCUGGCAGCCUGGGAGUCAGCCAGGUGCGGCUGCCACAUGGCCCCCCAAACUGGCUGAUACGCAUGUGCCCGCCAGUUCUGGGCCUGCACAGACACACAUCAAAACUGCCUCACACAGACCCCCAGGGACCCACGAAUACCCCCAAAGACACACACUCAGCUUGGCAUGUACACGUCCCCCCAAAGACACACACUCAGCUUGGCAUGUACACGUCCCUGUCCUUGUUGAGGCCCCUUAUUCACACACACCCUCUCCCCACACUCAUACUCUGCAACGCACACUGACACCAACCGGGCAGCCCCUGCUUGAACAACAGCCUCCCGAGGGCGGCAUCCCCCGUUCUUGUCCACUGCUGUCUCCUCUGCCUGUAACCGUGUCCAGCACACACCAGGUGCCCAGAAACGUUUGCUCUCUGAAUGAAUGCACACACACACUCACACACACACACACACAUUCUGUAAUAAUUACCCCCACUCUCACCCGAUCCCUGCCCCCCUGUGCUGGGUCUACUAGGCCCUACCGAGGACAAGACCAGAAGGCCUGUCCUCCUCUGGCCUGGCCAAUCCCCCAUAGCCAGAGUCCAAGCCAGGCUGAGGACCUGAGCAGGAGGGUGGAGAGGGCAGCCCAGGGAAAGAAGUAGCUUCGAACCCCUGUUUAGGAGGAUGUGGGAAUCAUUGUUUGCUACAGGACAAACCUCCCUGGAGGAGCCACCGCACCACGCUGGAGUUCUGGGUUGGGCCACAUCCCCAGAAAGCCACCAGGGGAGGGGAACACGUGACCCCUAUAAGGCCCUCCCCAGCCCCCUCCUCUGAAGGAGUGCCCCAUUUUAGGUGAUUCCACCCCAUCUAGGAGCCCUCAGCUCUGCCCCCAUAGUGCUUGGGCUGGGCUUCCCACAGCCUGCACAUGGCUGUAACAGAGUGACACUUCAGGGGGAGUUCCCGUUGUAGCUCCGUAGGUUAAGAACCUGAUUAGUAUCCAUGAGGGUACAGGUUCAAUCCCCAGCCUCGCUCAGUUCACAGAUGUGGCUUGGAUCCGGUGUUACUCUGGCUGUGGCUGGCAGGUGCAGCUCCAAUUCAACCCCUAGGCUGGAAACUUCCAUAUGCUAAGGUUUGCCCUAAAAAAAAAAAAAAAAAAAAAAAGGAAAAAAAUAAAAAAGAGUGAUGCCUGGGGACACAGGAGCAGAGGGGGGUGGUGGUCAGGGAGGACUCCCUGGAGGAGAGGAGCCUUGUACAGUGAGAGACAGGAGGGCCUUCUGGGAAGAUGGCUGGAAGAGGCAUCUGAGCAUCUCUGACUCCAGGACUGCUGAGGGAGCAUCGUGACUGUGCUGGGACCUCACAAUUCCCAUGAGAUGAAGCGGAGGCUGAUUGGGCAGGCUGAGCACCAGGGAUGAGGAGGGGAUGCUGUGAUCCCAGAGCGACUGAAGGUCGGGUGAGAUUUAUAGUCAGAGCCUGCAUCAGUAGACUAGAGAAAAAGGUGACUGAGGGGGGCAAGCUGAUAAAGGGGAGGACUAGGGACAGGACUAAGGACAGAUGAGUGGCCAAUGGAUGGACAUAUGCAUAGGCUAGCAGAUGGACUGAAAGACACAGGAGCAUGAAUAGACAAAUGGAAAGACAGAAGUGGGUGGCUGGCCACUGGGGUCACUCUCUGAAGCCCCACAAGGGCCUGAAGACCCAGCUACUUCCCCUGCAGACCACUCCCACCCCAGCUCCAUUCCCUGUCUCCUUUCCCAGACCAGGUUCCCAGGGAGGCAGACACCUGCUUGGCCUGAUGCCCAGAGAUGCACUUUCCAGCCAACUACAAGCCCAGAAAUGGAAUCACCUCCUGGUGUUCUUACCUGUUGCAGGUGUGCAUAGGAUGGGGUGGGGUCAGCGCCAUAUCUAUGGGCUAAUACCUCCAAAAAUAGCCUCCCAGCGACUGGGGAGUACCCCAAUCAUGGCUCACGUGCGCGCGCGCGCGCACACACACACACACACACACACACACACACACAGCCGCUGGCAGAAUCAACUCCAUAGACACUUGAUGCACACACAGGUGCAUUCACUGACACACUGGCACCCAAACACCAGUCCCCCAAACACCACAACUACCAAACUGCAUAGCAACAGAAUGAGCCAACCACAUGGUCUACAAUGUAUGGGGCCACCUGGCCCCUCAGAUACACCCCAACACCAUGCUGUCAUUAAUCUACAAAUGUGCAUUGAACAGCUUCUGGACCCAACCCUAUGGGAUUUCGGAGCACCUUCAACAGCUCUUCCCAGAGAAAGCUGGACCCACAGGGUCCUUCAUGCUUCACCCUCCAACCCUGCCUCCUACCCCAGCACCUCACAUUUGCCCUCCGUCCAGCAACAUCUGACACCUUAGGGGGGUUCUCUCCUUCUCAUAUGCUUGGAUCCACAUUAUUCCUGCAACUGGGAACCCUUUCCCCAUUUCACUCCUGAACCCCACAUACCAGACCUUUCAUUCAAGACAGAUCUCUGCAUACCUAAAGUUUAACAGUGGGACACACAACAGGGCCUAAAUGUUUGUUGACUGACUGACCAACUUACCAGCUGGGUGAAAUCAUUAGGAAUAUAAAUCAGCUAAGAAUAGUGCAUAAUUAAAGUUCCCAUCAUGGCUCGGUGGUUAACAAACCCGACUAGUAGCCAUGAAGACGCGGGUUCAAUCCCUGGCCUUGCUCAGUGGGUUAAGGAUCCUACGUUGCUGUGAGCUGUGGUGUAGCUCACAGACAUGGCUCGGAUCCCUAGUAGUUGUGGCUGUGGUGCAGGCUGGCAGCUGUAGCUCCAAUUCGACCCCUUAGCCUGGGAACUUCCAUAUGCUGCAGGUAUGGUGCUAAAAAGACAAAAAAAAAANAAAAAAAAAAAAAAAA
rnacentral:lncRNA from 1 species